rnacentral:lncRNA from 1 species
CUGGCACAUUUCCAACAUAUAUUAUCAAACUACUAUUCUAUACAAAGAAAGAUAACUCCAAUUGAAAAUUAAUUGCUAUUGCACAAUAUUGUGCAAUUAUAUAUUUCUUGCUAUUGUGCAAUACUGUGCAAUUGAAAAUUUUUUGCUAUUGCACAAUACUUGAUAUGGAAUCCUGAUUUGGACCAACUUGAAAACUGGGCCCAUAAUCAAAAAUCAAAGUACAUGUUUAGAUAAAGCAAAUCAAAUAAGCCCAAGAAUUUAAUUUUUGUUAAAAUCAAACUUAGUUUAAUUUUGGACCCUUUGGACCUUAAUGUAGACCAAUUUGAAAACUGGACCAAAAAUUAAGAAUCUACAUACACAGUUAGAUUUGGCAUAUCAAAGAAC